rnacentral:rRNA from 1 species
UAAUACGUGCAAGUCGAGCGGACCGACGGGAGCUUGCUCCCUUAGGUCAGCGGCGGACGGGUGAGUAACACGUGGGUAACCUGCCUGUAAGACUGGGAUAACUCCGGGAAACCGGGGCUAAUACCGGAUGCUUGAUUGAACCGCAUGGUUCAAUCAUAAAAGGUGGCUUUUAGCUACCACUUGCAGAUGGACCCGCGGCGCAUUAGCUAGUUGGUGAGGUAACGGCUCACCAAGGCGACGAUGCGUAGCCGACCUGAGAGGGUGAUCGGCCACACUGGGACUGAGACACGGCCCAGACUCCUACGGGAGGCAGCAGUAGGGAAUCUUCCGCAAUGGACGAAAGUCUGACGGAGCAACGCCGCGUGAGUGAUGAAGGUUUUCGGAUCGUAAAACUCUGUUGUUAGGGAAGAACAAGUACCGUUCGAAUAGGGCGGUACCUUGACGGUACCUAACCAGAAAGCCACGGCUAACUACGUGCCAGCAGCCGCGGUAAUACGUAGGUGGCAAGCGUUGUCCGGAAUUAUUGGGCGUAAAGCGCGCGCAGGCGGUUUCUUAAGUCUGAUGUGAAAGCCCCCGGCUCAACCGGGGAGGGUCAUUGGAAACUGGGGAACUUGAGUGCAGAAGAGGAGAGUGGAUUCCACGUGUAGCGGUGAAAUGCCGUAGAGAUGUGGAGGAACACCAGUGGCGAAGGCGACUCUCUGGUCUGUAACUGACGCUGAGG